AUUGAACGCCGGCGGCAGGCCUAACACAUGCAAGUCGAGCGGAUGAAGGGAGCUUGCUCCUGGAUUCAGCGGCGGACGGGUGAGUAAUGCCUAGGAAUCUGCCUGGUAGUGGGGGAUAACGUCCGGAAACGGGCGCUAAUACCGCAUACGUCCUGAGGGAGAAAGUGGGGGAUCUUCGGACCUCACGCUAUCAGAUGAGCCUAGGUCGGAUUAGCUAGUUGGUGGGGUAAAGGCCUACCAAGGCGACGAUCCGUAACUGGUCUGAGAGGAUGAUCAGUCACACUGGAACUGAGACACGGUCCAGACUCCUACGGGAGGCAGCAGUGGGGAAUAUUGGACAAUGGGCGAAAGCCUGAUCCAGCCAUGCCGCGUGUGUGAAGAAGGUCUUCGGAUUUUAAAGCACUUUAAGUUGGGAGGAAGGGCAGUAAGUUAAUACCUUGCUGUUUUGACGUUACCAACAGAAUAAGCACCGGCUAACUUCGUG
rnacentral:rRNA from 1 species